rnacentral:rRNA from 1 species
UUGAGUUCUCCACGAGGAUUUGUGGGAGUGAAAGUUGAGAAUCUUAUUACUCUUGGGUGCUUGGUAACCUAGAGCUUAUUACUCUUGGAUGCUUGUGUGACGCCCGGAUAAUUAAGCUACAGUAACCCUCUACUGAUGAUGCCACAUCACCUCGGUUAUUGUUGAUAAUCUUGCAUUAGUUCAAAACGAUUCAAAUUCAAAUUUUAAUUAAAGGCAAACAAUAAAAAAUUUCAAAUAUGAAAACUAAAAUGUUCGGAGUGAGCCAAAUAAUGCAUAGGUAAUUAUGGCGGAGAAACCACACUUUUUAUAAAAUGUUAAAUACUCUAAAAUGAUUUAAACCAUAGAAAAAACAAUUAUAUAAAUGCUUUGGGUAUUUUAUAAAUUGCUAAACUAUUUUAAUUCGGGGUAAAACCUUUUACGACAGUGGGUUAUUCUGGAACAUUAAUUUAGGGGCUAUUGUUAUAUUUUCCUGAACUAAAAUUAAUGUGUAACUAAAAGAAAAACAGAAAAGAAAAGAACACAAAAAUAUGAAAAUAAGGAGAAAGAACCCCCCUGGCCAACUGGGCCAAACGGCCCAGCCGGCCAGCAGGCCACUGAGCCAUCCCACCCGCGCCGAACCCCCCGGGCUACUAACCUGCCCCACCACCAAACCCUAACCCACGACCACUCCCAGUCCCCCCCACGUCGCCCGCUCCUCCCCCUCGAUCUGGAUCGAGAUCGGGGCAAGGACCAACCGCGCCCGCGCAGCUUGAUCCCCGCCGCCCGAUGCCGUCCAUCGCCGACGCACCUCGCCGGACUGCCUCCUCCUCCCCGAUGGUCUGCCUCCUCUCCGUCGCGCNNNNNNNNNNNNNNNNNNNNNNNNNACGUCCGGAGACGCCGGCGGGGGGCCCUCGCGGAAGAUUAUCUUUUCUGCUUAACGCUGCCAACCCUGGAAACCGUUCAGCCGGAGGAGGUCCAGUGGCCGAAGAGCACCGCACGUCGCCGCUGUGUCCGCUGUGCGCCCCCGCGGCCCAUUUUGAAAAUCCGGAGGACGGUCACCGUUUCCGCGUCGGUCGCUACUCAUAACCGCAAUCAGCUUCUCCAAGCGUGAAUAACAGCCUCUGUAGCCCAAUUGGAACAAUGUAGGCAGGGAUAGUCAGCAACGGAUCGCUAACUCGGGAAAAGGAUGGCUCUUGAGGACUGGCUCGGCGCGUCCCGGGCCCGACCCGUCGGCUUGUCGGCGGGAUUGCUCAGCUGCGUCACGCGGCGAGAGCGGCUCCCGCGUUGCCGGCCGGUGACGGACUGCGGGAAUCGCUCCUUCGGGCGGGCUUUCCCGAGCAUGAAACAGUCCGACUCAAACUUGCUACGGACAAGGGGAAUCCGAUCUGUUUAAUUAAACAAAGCAUUGCCGAUGCGUCCUCGCGGAUGCUGACGCAAUGUGAUUUCUGCAUGCUCUGAAAUGUUUCAAUGAGAAUUCACAAGCGCUGGCAUGUAAACGGGCGGCGGAGUAUCUCUGGACUCUCUUAAUGUAGCAAUGCCUCUCAUCUAAUGUGACUGGUAUGAUGAUUAACGAGAUUUCCCACUGCCCUGUUACUAUCCAGCGAAACCACAGCAAGGAACGGCUUGGCAGGAAUCAGCGGGAAAGAAGAUCCCUGUUGAGCUUGACUUAGUCGACUUUGUGAAAAUGACUUUGAGAGUGUAGGAUAAGUGGAGCCUCACGGGCGCAAGUGAAAUACCACUACUUUUCAAUUAUUUAACUUUUCCGUGGGUCGGAAAGCGGGGCAUGUCCCUCCUUUUCGGCUCCAAGGCCGGUCUUACCGCGUCGGAGCGGAAGACAUUGUCAUGGUGGGACGGUCUUGGCUGGGCGCAAUCUGUUAAAAGAUAAGCAGCGUGUCCUAAGAUGAGGCUCAACGGAGAAAAAGAAAUCUCGUUUGGACAAAGGGUAAAAGCUCGUUGAUUCUGAUUUUCAGUACCGAAUUACGAACCGUGAAGCGUGGCCUAUCGAUCUUAGAUUCUUCGGUUGACUAGAGGUGUCAAAAGUUACCACAGGGAUAACUGGCUUGUGGCAGCCAAACUUCAUACCGACGUUGUUUUUGAUCUUCGAUGCGGCUCUUUCUAUCAUUGUGAAGCGAUUCACAAGUGUUGGAUUGUUCAGCCCACCAAAUAGGAACGUGAGCUGGGUUUAGACCGUCGUGAGACAGGUGUAGUUCGCCUAUGAUGACAGUGUCCCGAUAGUAAUUCAACUGUACUGAAGAGGAACCGUUGAUUCACACAAUUGGUCAUCGCGUUGGUUGAAAAGCAGUGGGCGGAAGCUACCGUGUGCCGGAUUAUGAGCUGAACGCCCUCUAAGUCAGAAAUCCAGGCUAGCAUGCGGCCCGGACCCACACCGUGCGCCCGCGCCCGCCCCGCCCCACGUUACUGGCGCUUUGCGCCCCAGGGCGUGCUAUUGGCUAAGCCGUCCGGCCGACGCUGCCGCGCGGCGCCUCGAAGCUCCCUUCCCAACGGGCGUGGGGCUGGAAUCCUUUGCAGACGACUUAAAUACGCGUACGGAGGCAUUGUAAUUGCAGAGUGGCCUUGCUGCACGAGUCCAUGAGCAGCCCCCAUGUGCACGGAUUCGUCCCUGCCCCCACCA